rnacentral:rRNA from 1 species
AACGAACGCUGGCGGCAGGCUUAACACAUGCAAGUCGAGCGAACUCUUCGGAGUUAGCGGCGGACGGGUGAGUAACGCGUGGGAACGUGCCCUUCUCUGCGGAAUAGCCACUGGAAACGGUGAGUAAUACCGCAUACGCCCUUCGGGGGAAAGAUUUAUCGGAGAAGGAUCGGCCCGCGUUGGAUUAGGUAGUUGGUGAGGUAACGGCUCACCAAGCCGACGAUCCAUAGCUGGUUUGAGAGGAUGAUCAGCCACACUGGGACUGAGACACGGCCCAGACUCCUACGGGAGGCAGCAGUGGGGAAUCUUAGACAAUGGGGAAACCCUGAUCUAGCCAUGCCGCGUGAGUGACGAAGGCCCUAGGGUCGUAAAGCUCUUUCACCAGGGAAGAUAAUGACGGUACCUGGAGAAGAAACCCCGGCUAACUCCGUGCCAGCGCCGCGGUAA